AGGCCAUUCACGACGUUGUCACAGAAGAAGUGGAGGUCAUGGAGAACUGUGAAUUGCCACAGAAAUGCGAGAUCCUCUGCACAACUCCAGGCGGGAAAUCGAGAGGACUGGAGGGUUGAGUCUCAGCUGAAGAAGGAUGAUGUGAUGAAGACAACCUCACCUUGGCGGGGAUACAGCAAAGACAUGGAGUAAACUCUGGACUACAGGACUUGAGGAACCUGGUCUGGCCUUGGAUAUGCUGCUCAGAAGACUCCUCAGAAUCUCUGUGUCUCAGU
rnacentral:lncRNA from 1 species